CCUUAAUUACACAGGUAAAUACUGCAGGGCCAAAACACCACGUGGUGAAAAAGACAAUGGACCAAAAAAAUGAAACCCAUAUUCAUAGUCUUAGAUGCGUUUUUCUCUUUCUCAUUUUUAUAACGGUAAACAAUGCUAUUGAAUGACAUUGAAAAUCAUUGCAUGUGCUAGAGAUUGAAACGAACUUGAAAAUGUUGCGAUUGCCCCCUAAAGUCGACCCAGAAGAACAAAAGAAAAUAGCGAGAUAUGGGUGCAUACAGAGCGUUUGUGUAUUUGCAGUCACAUGUGCCGUUAUCCGUGCUCUACCAUACGUUAUGAAGCAGCUGAAUUCCUAAGGACUGUUGCUCUGCUGGGAGGUCAAGAGAGCUGUACAUAGUUUGACAAUGCCUCAUGGAGGAAAAUGUAGAUACUAGACACUGCAUAACAAAUUUGUUUUUGAUGAUGAUGAGCAUCCUGUUUUUGCAGUUAUAUGAUGAUAAAUAAAUGUAUCUCGCAUAUCUAA